rnacentral:misc_RNA from 1 species
GAUGAAGAACGCAGCGAAAUGCGAUAUGUAGUGUGAAUUGCAGAAUUCAGUGAAUCAUCGAAUCUUUGAACGCACAUUGCGGCCAUAGGUAUUCCUUUGGCCAUGCCUGUUCGAGCGUCAUUUACACCCUCAAGCCUAGCUUGGUGUUGGGCGCCUGUCCCGCCGUUUUCGCGCGCGGACUCGCCUCAAAGUCAUUGGCGGCGGUCGUGCCGGCCCCCUCGCGCAGCACAUUUGCGCUUCUCGGAGGCCCGGCGGAUCCGCGCUCCAGCAAGACCUUUCACGACUUGACCUCGGAUCAGGUAGGGAUACCCGCUGAACUUAAGCAUAUCAAUAAGCGGAGGA